rnacentral:rRNA from 1 species
UGGGGGAUAUUGCACAAUGGGGGGAACCCUGAUGCAGCGACGCCGCGUGAGGGAAGACGGUUUUCGGAUUGUAAACCUCUGUCUUUGGGGAAGAUAAUGACGGUACCCAAAGAGGAAGCCACGGCUAACUACGUGCCAGCAGCCGCGGUAAUACGUAGGUGGCGAGCGUUGUCCGGAUUUACUGGGUGUAAAGGGUGCGUAGGCGGGAUUGCAAGUCAGGCGUGAAAUGCAUCGGCUUAACCGAUGAAUUGCGCUUGAAACUGCAGUUCUUGAGUGAAGUAGAGGCAGGCGGAAUUCCGAGUGUAGCGGUGAAAUGCGUAGAUAUUCGGAGGAACACCAGUGGCGAAGGCGGCCUGCUGGGCUUUUACUGACGCUGAGGCACGAAAGCAUGGGUAGCAAACAGG